rnacentral:lncRNA from 1 species
ACGAGUUGCUUUGCUUUGGAAGUCCCACUGUGCAACUUACGUCCCAGCAUGUGUGGUUUUGUACCAUGUGACCGGAUGAUGAAAAGGGCCUAUUGGUCCCCACGCCCUGGAAAGAGUCAAGACUUUGAAUUUCUUUUCAAAGAUUGUCGGAACCGGGAGGCUCGAAAGUUAAGAGAAGAAGACGUUUUGAAGAACUGUGCAAUCUUCUUUUAGAGGCUGAAAGCCCGGUUUCAUACAACAAGCUCAAGGAAGAGUCAGAGAAUAUCGUACGUAUUUUGAACGGGCUUGUAUAGCUCUUAGACGUGACGUGUGUAAAUAAAGUAUUGCAUUGCAUUGCAUUGCAUUGCAUUGCAUUACAAUGUAUUGUAUUGUGUUGUAUUGCGCUGAAGAGGACAACGAUCGAAAGUAUUUACACAGGGGUCAAAUAGUGGCACAAAAGAAGAAACUAUAUAUUUCGAGCAUCUCUACCGUUGCUAAGUACAUGUACUUAAAAAAUGAAACCAGCAUGCACUUUCAUUAUCCAUGGCCACUCGCAAAGAUGACUGGGCCAAUCACAGAGCAGCAAGACUAGGAGUCGUUUCGUGUUUUCUUACACGAGGGUUACCCAGUGAUCUUUGCGAGUGUAGUUCGUCUGCGCCAUUUUGGCACGUGUGCAAGAAAAAUAAUGGAAAAUGAGGUGGAAUGUGGAGACGUGUUUGUUAACCUCUGAGGCCUGUCCAUGUCCCUGGACGAAUUUACAUGCCCGGGGUAGAUGUAAGCUGAGAUGAGAUUUUAACAGAAAACCAAAUGGUUCAUGGCUUUUACAGUUAGUGUGUAGUGCUUAGUUAUCCAGGAAAACAGGUUACAGUACCGAUCAGAAGAAACCUAACAGGGAACGCGUUUGCGAACGGGAACGGAACGGAUACAGAACAGGUAUGAGAACGCGAACAGAAUGGGUACAGAACGGGUACAGAACGGAUACAGAACGGAUACAAAACGGAUACAGAAUGGAUACUGAACAGAAAUGGAAUGGAUACCGAACGGAAAUGGAACGGAUACGGAACGGUUAUGAAUCACAAAAAUGGAAAAAAGCGUUCUCCAGAACGCAAACUAUAUGAGAACGCGUUCUUCAGAACACUUGGUAGUAAGUUACGCUAUCAGAGUGCUUACCGAGGAUUUGGAAAUGAUGUAACUUUAAAUACACGUUCGUUCAAUUUUUGUCCAGCCCGGCGAUCUUGAGAAAAUGACAGAACUAAUCAUCUUAUAUCUUUUUUUAUUUGUUUUUACAUGCACUAAGCAGGCAUCUUCCCUGCAUCUUCUCAUCCAUUUCGAGUUCAUCGCGGCCAUUUUGUUAUUGUCAACAAGCUCAACUUAUGUCCAAAUAAGGAAAUGGAUGGACGAGUCGAGUUAGACUGGGAUUG